rnacentral:lncRNA from 10 species
GCUGCAGCGGGAGAAACGCAGGGAACCGAGAGGGAGAGGCGGCAUGUGGACAGGCAAGCCGGGCCUCAUUUGCCUAAUGCAAUGCGGCUGAACUCUCGCUGAACUCGCCUGGCGGCGCCUCACCUCCGAGUGACCCACCCACCGCUGCCCGUGACAUCACCCGCUCGCCAGCCCGCCCGCGGGGCUCGCCCGCCAGCCCCCUGCCCGGCCGAACCGGGCCACCUCCCCCGGAGACGCGGAGAGCGGCGGCAGGAGGCGUAGGGCCGGGUCGCGCGGGGCCAAGUGUUUGGCACCCGGGUGUGACAUUGUGCAGCUCGGACGCUGUGUCGGAAUGAGACACCGGCUUGUGUCAUUGUCUGUGACAUCAUGUGUGACUCCGGCCGCCGGAACCCGACGCGGCAGCGCGGGUGCUGUUGGCACAAACACAGGCAGAGGGGGCCCUCCUCCCCACGCUCUGCGUGCUUCCGGCGAGCAAAGCCCCGCCCAAGGUGUCUCCUAGCUGGGGAACCAGUACCGGCCCCUGGUGCACUGUCCAGCUCUGGAGAGAUAAAAGGAAGAGCUGGUGCCUUCCAGUGGACUACUUCAUCCUAGAAGCCCUCGGGAUGCACGUUUCACUGGAAGAAAGGCCUAGCUUGGGUAGGUCCCUAGAAAGAGGGGAUACCCCUGGAGGAGGGGGUAUCCUAUUACCCCCACUCUCUAAAAGGAAGGAUGGAAAUGUACAUGCUACCCAAGGACAUUCUUCUAGAAGAAGCCUGGCUCUUUAUAUAUGUUGUCAUUUUAUCCUCACAGCAACUCCAAGAGAUGUUUUACAAAUAAAACAGGUCUCAGCAAGGCUA